rnacentral:lncRNA from 1 species
AAUUUCUUUUUUUUUUUUAAUGAAAUAUAUAUAUAUAUAUUUUUUAAAAAUUAAAUAUUUGUUAUAUUAUAAUUAUUUUUAUAAAUUUUAAAUUUUUAAAUAGAAAUAAUUAUUUAUUUAUAUUUUAAAAUAUAUAUAUUUUUUUAAAAAAAUAAAAAAAUAAAAUCUUUUAGGGGCCGACCCGGAGCACGGCCCGGGCCUGGUCGGCCCCUCGCCGGAAUAGGCACGAAAAAUGUGGGCCGUGCCGGCCCGACACGGCCCACAUUACACCCCUACUUGUAAUCUUCUUUUUAUCUCAUCAAAAGUAACUAAUUUUGCUGAUGCAACUUUGUAGGGCUCAUUUCACCAUUUUAUCAUGACAACCGCCAGGAAUGAAGUACUUGUGAGUUACAACUUCAAAAAAAUUUUGUUCUGAGGCUAACGUUUUAAAGCAUACUAACUAGAAACGUGAUAAACUAAAGAAAGACUAUUAUUCCACUCAGCUAUGUUCUGCAGUUAAAAACUUAAAAUCAAAUAAAAGUGUAAGUUAUUGAGUACUAAAGGUAAAAAUGGAGCAUAUUUUAUCCAUCACUAACUAAAGAUGGGAAUAUUCACUGGCGUUAUCAUGCCAAGGGACAAGAAAUAACUAUUAUCCCACCCAGGUUAAUUAGGUUAUGAAAAAAAAAAGAAGUGCAUAUAAAAGGAACUUUCGACACCAAGCUUCACAUUGGACAUAUACGAAUCAUUACAAUGAGAAACAAAAGUAAAAAUAGCACAAACCUCAAACAUAAGAUUGUAUUUUCCGUCUCUGUUUCGCAUCCUCAAAUAUGAUUGGCAUGCCUCUGGAUCUUCACCUGGUGGAAGUAGAUAUAUAUCGUAAGUCUCCUCCGUGCUUUCUGUAUGUUCUGGAGAUAUAGCGGCCUUGAUUUGAUCAGGUGUAAUGGGCUUUGGUGACUGCAACAAUGGCACAAAUUAUUAGACACUAUCAGAAGAAUAGAAAACCAAUAAAAGGAACCAUCUGCUAGUCCUGUCUCAUUGUUCCCACCUAUUCUCAUUGUUCCCACCUAUUUAAAUAGAUAAAGCAUACAGAUAGUUUCUGCACUACCCGAUAUUGCGACUGAAUCCUUAAACUUUUCACUUAAAAACUUUAGUCCCUAAACGUUCUGAUAUAUUGAAAAUUCAUCCCUAAUCAUCCAAAAAAGAAAAAAAAACCUAAUUUUCUUGUAAAAUGACCAUUUACCCCUACUCUUAAAUGACUUCCUUAUUUUAGUUUACUUGAAACAAGUUAAGAAGUUGGUUUUAUAGCAGAAAGUCAACAGACAUCAUAUUUCUUUAAGUAUUAAGGAUGAAGAAACAGUAUACGAGAAAGUUUACCGACUAAAGUGUUCAAGUAAAAAAUUUAGGGACCAAAACACACUGUCAAGAUAGUACAUGGACUAUUCAUACAUCUAACCAAAAUUAAAAAGAGCAAAAUAGAAUUAGGGAGUAACCUUCAGAAUGUAUGUGGGAUUCUGGAAGCCGGAGAAUGGAUUGAACUUGUUGAUGAUUUUUAUAUGUGCUGUUUGGAGAUCUGGCUCAAUGAAGGCUUUGUACAUUGGAUAAACCUGCAGAAUAGCAUCCAAAAAUUCAUUACUACAAACAGCCUCUUCAGUUUGUAUUAUAGAAUUCAAGUAUCACAGAAAUGCCCAGUGACUACGAACAUCGAGCAUUUAACUGAUUGACGUAACAGCCUGAUUGGUGUGGCUUUCAGAAUUUUUGUUCCGAAAGCAGCAGGCAAGCAUUUGGUUCAUAUCGUCUGAAGCUUUUGCGAGAAACAAAAUGAGAUUCCAACCAAACCUUAAAACCAGAAGCUCUAACUUGAGGUUCUGCUUAUGCUGCAGCGGCACGCUAUAAGAAGUUUCUUGAAAAAGUUUUUAGUGCUUCUUUACUCAAAGAGCACUUCUACAGAGUCUCCAAUUGGGCCAAACAGGCCCUAGACCAAUAAGUACGGUCUAGAUUGCCUUCUUUUUUCUUAUGAGCAUUAGGAAACAGAUACAUAAAUGUAGGGCAGAAAAGGCAAAUAACCGUCUCAGAGAUUUGAUGAAUUAUUUCUUCAGGUUCUUGGCCAGCACGUUGUAUGUCCCUUAAAACCCUCUUCACCAGGUCGAAAUGCACGCCGCCCGUCACAGAAACACGCAGGUCAAGUAGAGAUCGCAACUUCUCGCUCAAAGCAUAGAUUCCUUCAAUAAUUACGAUUCGGGAGCUAGGGACAUCUACUGUUCUGUUGAUAUUAUAAAAAGAGUUAGAAUAUAAGUGAGAAGUUAAGAAUUUGUUGUCUAAAGAACUGAAGGCCUAUGGAAUCAGGAUUGAAGAAAUUCGGGCCUGUUCAGAGUGACUAGAGGUUUUGCAAAAGUGCUGUUAAGUAUAAAUGUUCAAAAAGCACUACAGCUCUUCCAUUUACAUCCUUACCAACAAUUUAACGUUGCCAAAACUUCAAAUUGGAGCUUCUGAUUUUAGAUUUCAAAAGCUCAUUCAGCUUCCUACAGCAGAACAGGAAGGAAAAAAAAAAAGGACAUCUUGUUCCAAACACCUAGCCGCAGCUUUUGAGUAGAGGAGUUGUCCAGAAGCUGGGCAAAAUAGGCACUUUGGCCUAGUUUGGAUAUUAGAGAAACUUAUCCAAUGAUAACUUAUGCAUUACAGGGAUUUCCUUGUGUGAUUGCAAGCUUGGAGUUUGAUUUUAGCUCCUUUGGAAGUCUUGAUAUCCGUGACUUGUUAAGAGAGUACGUUUCACUUGCUAAGUGAUUUACUUUAUUCUGAGAAAAUGACUUGAAGGCCAGAUAUGGUUUGCCUUCCUAUGCAUUUGAUCAUACUCAUUUACCAAAUGCUAAAAGCUUCUUAAUUAAAGAAUAAAGGUGUGCUGAACAAGAUGUUCAUGCAUCCAAACUGGCCUUAAAGUGUAUGCUGGCAUCCUAUUUGUUAUAUGGAAAGGAAAAUCUCACCUGUAUCCGGUGCGGCAGCUCAACUUGUAGUCGUAAAUUGGCACUUCAACCGAUUUCCCUUCUUUUAGACCAUGAAUAUUUUCCAACAAAGUGUCAUAGUCAGUCAGGCGUGGGUCUGUUGAGAAAUUGCAUGAUACCAAUAUUAGAUUCUCCAUUAACAACUAAUCCUUUGUUACACAACUGCUUCUGCCAAUGAACAUAAGGAAAAUACGAUAUUGUUUACAAAACAAACAGGAAAUGUUAGGCAAGAAUAGAUAUUACCAUCAAAGUUGCCAUCAAUAAUUCGACUGGAAUCAUUGUAAUUGUCCAUCGAUAUGAGGGCAAUGCUAGGCAUGAAGUUGAGCACCUUCUCAGUAAACACAGUCUUUCCGGCCCCAGAGGGACCUGCGAUCCCGACCACAAUUAUCCCAUCGUUUUUUUGCGCCAGUAACUGGCAAGCACGAAUGACUAUAAAGAAGCCUUUCUCGAAAGAUAGCGGAUCUUGAAUCGGGACGAUUUCGUAACGGUCGCAGUCCUUUCUCUUCACCAACUGGACCUGAUCUCUUAGAAGACCCGUCUUUCGCCGUGGCGAUUCAGCGUUAGAGCUAUCUUGUGCCAUCAACAAGUUGAGCAGUGUGGGGUAACCCUGCAAAGCAAAUAGAGGCAAGCCAAUCAUAUCUCUAUAGUCAAAACAUAACAAAAAAAAAAAUCGCUCUGUUGUUAAAGAAAAUAUUAUUUUCAUGAGAAAUUGAAUUCAUCUCCUGAAAGAUGAGACCAUAUAUUUCAUCUUCUCAAUGUAGAAUUAUUCUCCUUCGGAAAUCAUUAAACUCCGGCCUCCAUGUGCUUCGAAGCGCAAACAUUAUUUAAUAAUGUAGAAUCAAGAAAACGCUUCCCCUAUUACUUUUGACAUGAACUUUUAAGUACAUAAGGCCCUCCAUAAACUGCUAGUUUGAGCAAAUUGCUUGAAAGUUAUGAACCUCUGUAUUAUUGGUGCAGUAAUAAUACAUAAACCCACUAAUCAUUUUUCUCUACACAAUAACUGGUGGUAUCACUUCUAAAUACAUCGGCACCAGAAGAUAACUGUUAUGUAGAGAAAUUAAUAUCUCAACAAGGGUAAAAGAUAGACCCAUUACAAUGGUUCCCAACAAAGGAGUUUUUUGCAUGAAUUUGAUGAUUUUCCCUAUUCCUCAUAAGCCCGAGGACUACACUAUGACGACCACACAAGAGAUUUCGACCCCGAAAAUUACAUCCUUAGCUGCAACCACUGUCUCAAAAUUCUCCAAGUUUUCGAAAAAUUCUUGAAUAGUUCAGAUUUUUUUUUUUCUUUUCCAAAUAUAUCUGUGAUUUACUUAGUUGUAAAAUUAAUACAAAGCAAUAAACAUAGCAAGCUACGAAUAACCCACAAAUCAAUUCACUAAUUGCAAAUACUUUAUACAACAUUCACAAACAAAUGAAUCACAAGAAUUUGGUAUUUAUAUGCACUUUUACAGGUUCAUAUUUAUAUUUUUUUUGACGGAUUAUUUUCCGAACUCUCCGAAUUUUGGCCAAACUCCAAACUAUUCAACCUUUCCCCACAAAUUUAAACUGAAUGCCAAAACCAAUAUACUAUUAACAGUUAAAUGACAACAAAAAUAUACUAAAUAAUAAUAAUAAUAAAAUGUAUCCGCUAUUUCGACAUAAUCCUUAGAAUCUAUGACUCAAAACAAUUUUAGUCCCCAAAAAUUCCAUCCUUAGACGCAAAAUUAUCUCCUAAACCUUGUUCCAAUUACAUAAAACUAAACCAAAAAAGCAACUUUUUCCCUCUAUAGUAAUUGGAAAAAAGGGAGAAAAAAAAGUGAUUACAUCGAAAAAAUUACCCAAAAAUAGAGAAAAAAAAAAAGUGAUUGCAUGGAGUUAAUUACCCAAAAAAGCGGGGAAAUUGUAGAGAUCGAAGAGUAGAGCAAUUAAUGAUCGAACGUACAGCGUUGGUUCGAUCGAGAACGGGGAACAAGCAGGAGUAAUAGAAGCGGGGGUAGAGAGAGAGAGAGAGAGAGAGAGGCGAAAUUGAUGACAGGUUAGGGUUUGUUGUGGGCCGAAUUGGAUUGGGCCUCGGCCCAUUUGUAAACUCUUAUAUCCUUUGGCUUUGGAUUAAUCCGGUGAGAUAUUUUUUGAGAAAACUUCAAAUACCACUCCGUAUUUUCGCACUUUCUUACUUCUUAUCCUGUGAUUUAAAAUGUAUCACUUUCGUCCCCUGUGAUUUUAUUUUUCUCGUUUUGCUUUCCCCGCCACUAAUUUUUUUUAUUAAAUCAGUAAUAAAGUUAAAACUAAAGAGUACUAAAGUGAAUAUUUGAUAAACCAUAGUUGGGGUAUCUGAAUUUUUUUGUAUAUAAUAUAAUUUAACGAAAAGUUAACGAAGGGGCUAAUGAAAAGAAAAAAAAAUGAAAUCAUAAGGUACUAAAAAUUGAUAUAGUUUAAACCAUAAAGUACUAAACUGAGAAAGUAUGAAAUCAUAGUGGUGGUACUUGAAGUUUAACUAUUUUUUUAAAAAAAAUUGGCUGAAACAAAAUCGCGUAAAUACCCAUUUUUCAAAUUUAACAAUGUUUGAAAAUAAUAACAUUGGAAAUGAAUGAAAUGUUAUGCAGUGAAAACAUACCAAAAAUAUUUUUUGGAUUCGGAUAAACCGAAUCUGAAUCUGAAUCCGAAAAGAAAAAGUGAAUUCAAAAUCCGAAUUCAAACCCGAAUUUCCGAAAAUUCGGAUUUGGAUUCGGGUAAUGUCCGAUCAGUGUUCACACGUACAGGAGACUAGGGGUGGAAACGAGCCGAGCUCGAGCGAGCUUAUGUCAGCUCAAAUUCGGCUUGAAAUGAAUUUCGAGCCUAAAUCUAGGCUCAAGCUCGGCUUGAAAUUAAUUCGAGUCGAGCUCGAGCGAGCCUAAUUUCGAGUCGAGCCGAGCUCGAGCUCUAAACGAGCCUAUUGAAAUUCUCGACAUUAUAUAAUAAAUAGUUUAAUUUUUAUAUAACAUUAUCUAUAAUUUGAUGCAACAUGUUCAAUAGUUCAAAAUACAAAAUAAUUGCAAGAAAUGUGAGCUAGGGUGACUGCCUGACUGGGUGAGGGUCUGAGGCAGAACGAGAGAGAGAGAGAAGGGGAAAAAAAAUUAGGGAUUUGAGAAUUUAAAUAUUAUCACGUUUUAAGGUUAUGUGUAACAGUGAAAGUCUGAAAGAGAUAGUGUGUUAUGUAAAUUUAGAGUUGGGCUUAAUUGCACGGUUGUACUUAUUGGAUUUAUUUUAUGGACAAACAAUAAUAGUCCAAAUUAAAUUAAAGCCUAUAUAUAUAUACUAUAUAUAUAUAUAUAUAUAUAUAUAUAUAUAUAUAUAUAAAUUGAGCUUUGAUACUUUAUAAAGUAUCAAGUUAUUGGUGCUUGUAAUUUUUAUCAUUGAAUUAAGAGAGAUGCGGUUAGAUGAUGUGGGCCCUUAGGGUUGAGUGGGUGGUUGGUUGAAUAGUAUAAUCUAAUGGUUGAAAAUGAUCCAAGGAGUAGAUCUAACGGUACAAAAACUAACAAACCAAAUGGCUUAGUGCUUUUACAAGCACCAUAGCUGCACUAUAUAUAUAUAUAUAUAUAUAUAUAUAUAAUAUAUAUAUAUAUAUAUAUAUAUAUAUUCGAGCUUUUCGAGCUUUUCGAGCCUAAUUCGAACGAGCCAAGUAAUACUCAAGCUCGGCUUGAAAUGAAUUUCGACCCUUUUAUUUUGUUCAAGCUCGGCUCAUUCAAUUUCGAGUCGAGCUCGAGCGAGCCGAAUAUCGAGCCGAACACGAGUCGAACGCGAGCCCGCUCGCUCGUUUGCCAGCCCUACACGAGACGGUAGAAUUGGUUUCGUGCUCAAGGGGUCUAUUUAUCGGAUCGGGUCAUCGGGUUAUCGGGUUAUCGGGUUUCAUAAUCAUCCAUCUAAAAUGCUUUGCGACCUCCGCGGAAGAGAGAGAGAGAGAGAGAGAGAGAGCUCUUCGUCCCCAUCGGAACCACAAUCUACCCGACCUCGUUUCCCAAAACCCUAAACGCCAAUCCCACACCCAUCUCGGCGGAGAUCGGCGUGGUGGUUUCGGAUCGAAACCCUAGACGCGGAGAUCGGAUAUGAGCGAGGGGGAGGAAGCCACGCGGCGCCGAGGCGCCGUGAAUGAGUACCGCAAGAAGCUCCUCAACUACAAGGAGCUCGAAUCUAGGGUUCGCACCGGUAAUGAUCUCCUUUCUCUCUCUCUCUCUCUCUCUCUCUCUCUCUGUUUUCGAUUUGGUAGUGGAAUCCGUUGUUAGGGUUUGAUUUGGCGAAAUUUUAGAUUGAGAUGCUGAGGGUGCUCAAAUGAAGUCAAAUAGUGCUGUGGAUUGCUUUUAAAACUUUGAAGAAUCAGUUAAGUAGUUUGUUUUAGUAUCAUGAAUAGGAUUUUGGGCACUUGAAGGUUUGUGAGUGGUGUUUAAUUUGUUUGCUCAUUAUCACUUAAUUUGAGAAAUGGUUAUCCUGUUUGAUCUUGUUGUUGCGCUAAACAAAGUUUAUACAUAGAUACUUCCGUUUUUAUUUUGGAAGAGGAUAAGUUUUUUUCCUUUUCACUGUUUUUGGGUAAUCUCUGUGAUCAUGGAGAUACUAUAACUGCAGCAAUGUCAUAAUACAGUUAGUUCAAAUUGGGGGAUUUCACUACAGUUCAGUCUCAACUUUGGAGCCUACUUCGUGUAGAUUAGUUAAUGAUAAUUGCCUGAUUGAGAGCACUAUUUUCAUCUCCAAUUUUAUAUUUGGUAGUACAAGAAUAGUUUAGCUCUCUUCUGGCACUAUCUCCAUCUUCCUGAAGAGCAGUUCAGGAAGCUUGAUCUAAGAUGGCCGUCAGGGACGAUCUUAGUUAUGAAGAUCCAUGCAAAGUAUAACUGCCUAUAUAGAGAUUAGAGAUCAUGCAUGAAGAUCUUAUCCUUGGGGGGGUUUAUGAUUGUAAGACACUAUGCUUUCUGGAAUGGUAAAAGUUUCCGGGUAGGUAUGACAGACACCUUGGAAGGAGGCAACGGACUCCUAUUGUUACGAAUUAAAUGUAAUGAGCAUAUAAUUGUGUUGUCUAUUCUAUAUCCUUUUUUUUCCUUUCUUUUCUGCUAUUUUCUGUAAUUAUUGUCAUACAUUUUCUUUUUCUUUUUCCACUUUUUUCAUCUAGUUUAGUUGGUAUAAUGAUUUGAGUUUGUAAUUUAUGCACUGGACAUUGGAAAUACAGCAAGGGAAAACUUGAGAGCUGCAAAGAAAGAGUUUGGCAAAACUGAAGAUGAUUUGAAGUCUCUUCAGAGUGUCGGUCAGAUUAUUGGAGAGGUUCUUCGUCCUCUUGACAAUGAGCGCUGUAAGUGAAGAAGCAACUUCUGCCUCCAUAUAUGUCACUGUAAACACAUACAUUUGUUUAAAAUUUUUGUUAACUCUCGCUGAUCUAGAUAUAUUCAGUUUUGUUAGAAUCUGAUGUGUUAGAAACGACGCCUUCUAUUUCACAGCAAAGAAUCUACCUCGCUGCUUUCAUCUGAAGGCACGUAGCGCAAAGUAACAUGGUGCAUAAUAGUCUAGAUAAACAUUUGUGAAUGGCCAUCUAUAUGAUGCACUUAGUAGAAGCUUGGAAGCUAUCAUCGACAUUCUGGUCGAUGCUUUCUAUUUAAUCUUUGCUCGUGAUAAUCACACUUUCAAAUUAAAUUUAUGCCUUCAAUUUUCAAGAAAACACGAUGGAAUAUUAUUGCUUAUGCGAUAGAAAUUGGAACAAUAAUAACUCUAUUAAAGUUGAGUAGAUUAUAAGGACAGAAGAUUGAGAGUUUUGCAUGGUACCCUCGCUCUGUUUCUGAUAUUGUGCAGGUAUAUUGCUUUAUGUUGGAGAUCAAAUAUGGGCGCUAAUUAUUAUAGACUUAAUAGUGAUGGGAUUUUUUUAGUUUUAUUGUUUUGACAAAGAAUAUGCCAAAAGUAGUUUUGAAUGGAAGAGUGGGACUUACUUAACCAACUUCAGUAAUGAUCUGUACUAAAGGCUUGUUGCUGUUGUUAGUUUAAUUUGUUACCUUAAUUUAAUUAUAUACCUCCAUGGUUUGAUUCAAUUUGAUUUUUGUAGCAGUAUGAACUACAUGAACUCUCCAAAGUUUGAUUAUUGACCUUGUCUCCUGUGUGGUACCAAACCAAUUGGAACAAUGUUAUUCAUUAACUCAGGUGAAAGAAAGCAGUUCUUAAGGAUUUCUAGGAAGUUGCCACUCACUUGUCUUUUGGAACAUGAAUUAGUUCUCCUUCCAAUUUCCAAGUCCAGUCAAUUUCCAUAGGCACCAAGUUGACUAGUAAGAUAUCUGAAAUUUGGUGCUACAACCAAUUCACCUUUUGUAGUGAUGCCUUUCUUAUGGAACUUACCAUGGCCAGCUCCAACUAGUAGAUAAUAUUACAGUACUAGGUUACUAUCUUCCUGUAUGUUCACUUCAUAUUGUUUUAAUUAGUGCCUCAUACGUGCUUGUCAAUACUAAUAAUUUGAUUAAUGACAAGAACAUCAAGAAUGUUGAUUGCAAUUUGCAAGUGAGUUGACUUUUUAAUUGAUUAGCUUCAUCUGCCUUCUAGUAAUUGUUAAGGCUAGUAGUGGCCCGAGAUAUGUUGUUGGUUGUCGAAGCAAAGUGGACAAGGAGAAGUUGACGGCUGGAACCCGUGUUGUGCUUGACAUGACUACUCUCACUAUCAUGCGAGCUCUUCCACGUGAGGUACAAUUUAUUCAGCAUGAUAAGUUUGCAACUUUCUUGGUGUAUGUAAUAGAUUUAUUUGAGUCUUUAGGGUCUAUUUCUCAUUUUAUGAAUUUGUCUAGUACGUAGUAUAUGUAGACAAAAGUAUUUUACUCUUGUAUUUCUAUUCAGGUUGAUCCUGUCGUGUACAACAUGCUUCACGAAGAUCCUGGUAAUGUUAGCUACGCUGCUGUAGGUGGAUUAUCUGAUCAGAUUCGGGAACUCAGGGAAUCCAUUGAGCUGCCGCUUAUGAAUCCUGAACUCUUUAUUAGAGUUGGUAUCAAACCCCCAAAGGUAAAGCUGCUGUUUUUUCUUUUCUGAUCAUAGAACGCAUGCUACUUUGUUUUUGUUGUGAUAUGACUGUAGAGCACACAGAUUUUUUUUGCUUAUUUCAAAGGUGAUGAAUAUAUGCCUUGCGAAUUAAUACAUCUUUUUGUAUCAAUUUUCAUGAUCAUUUUAGGGAGUUCUUCUCUACGGUCCUCCCGGAACUGGGAAGACAUUGUUGGCUAGAGCCAUUGCUAGCAAUAUCGAUGCCAACUUUCUGAAGGUUUUACUUUCUACUAUUUAAAGUUUUAAAACUUACAGUAAAUUUCAAGUUCUUUGCUUUGUUAACUGUAAAUUAUGCAGGUUGUCUCAAGUGCUAUUAUAGACAAAUACAUUGGUGAAAGUGCUCGCUUGAUAAGAGAGAUGUUUAAUUAUGCGCGUGAUCACCAAGUAAAUACUUAGCUAUAUUCCUUUUGUAGUUGCUGUGACCGUACAUGCAUCACCGUUGCUAUAAAUUUUUNUUUUUUUUUUUUUUUUUUCUGAUCAUAGAACGCAUGCUACUUUGUUUUUGUUGUGAUAUGACUGUAGCAUGCAUAGAUUUUUUUUCCUUAUUUCAAAGGUGAUGAAUAUAUGCCUUGCGAAUUAAUACUUCUUUUUUGUAUCAAUUUUCAUGAUCAUUUUAGGGAGUUCUUCUCUACGGUCCUCCUGGAACUGGGAAGACAUUGUUGGCUAGAGCCAUUGCUAGCAAUAUCGAUGCCAACUUUCUGAAGGUUUUACUUUCUUCUAUUUAAAGUUUUGUAACUUACAGACUUACAGUUAAUUUCAAGUUCUUUGCUUUGUUAACUGUAAAUUAUGCAGGUUGUCUCAAGUGCUAUUAUAGACAAAUACAUUGGUGAAAGUGCUCGCUUGAUAAGAGAGAUGUUUAAUUAUGCGCGUGAUCACCAAGUAAGUACGCAGCUAUUCCUUUUGUAGUUGCUGUGACCGUACAUGCAUCACCGUUGCUAUAAAUUUUUUAGAUUCUUGUGGGUUUUUUUUUGAGGGGAGGCAUCACUAAUGUUUUCUUGUUCUUUAUCAAGCCGUGUAUCAUAUUCAUGGAUGAAAUUGAUGCUAUUGGAGGACGUCGAUUUAGCGAAGGAACCAGUGCAGACCGUGAGAUCCAAAGGACAUUAAUGGAGCUGCUUAAUCAAUUGGAUGGAUUUGAUACGCUUGGGAAGGUACACAUGUCUUUCUUCAUCCUGUAUGUUUAAAUUGAUGCUAUAUAUGUAUAUACUCUCUCUCUCUCUCUCUCACUCUCCCGCUCAAACGUUGAAUUAAUGUUAACCUGUUUCUGAUUCUAAACUUCUCUAGAUCUUUUUUUUUCUUUGAAACUUUUUUUUUUGUGUGGUGUUGUCGACCAUCUUGACCUGAAAUUUUGAAUAGUCAACAUCGCUACAAGUCUAUGAAAUUUUGCAUUCUGAUUGCAGGAUGAAUUAUUGCCACAGAGACUGAACUAGCAGUUAGUUGAAAGCUUAAUUGAGACUGUUGAAGAGCUGUCUAUAGAACUAACAGGAAAUUCACAACUGUGCAUGUAAUUACAUGCUCUAUUCCGGCAAAUUUUUUAAUAUACGACAACUGGCUCGCUGACAAGAUUGUGAGAUGUACAUAAAUGAAUAAUGUUUAACAACUUUAACAUGCAUGCCUUGAAUUGUAUCGGCAAAUUUCUGUGAGAUUUUAUUCCUAAUUGUUAUACUCAUAAUGAGUUUGUUUAACUACUGUGAUAUCUACUUCAUAGAUGCCAAUUAGUUGGAACUCCUGAAAAUUUUGGCCGAAAUUGGUUACUGUGAGAAAUUUUCUUCCAGAGUGAGUUCUUUAAUAUUGCACAUUGCUGAAACCUGUGGUUUCCUUAAUCAUGAUAAUGAUCAUCUUCGCUGCUAUUGCUUAGUAGGUUAAGAUGAUUAUGGCGACGAACCGGCCUGAUGUUCUGGACCCUGCACUCCUGCGACCUGGACGAUUAGACAGGAAGAUAGAGAUCCCACUACCAAAUGAACAAUCAAGGAUGGAAAUUCUCAAAAUUCAUGCUGCUGGAAUUGCCAAGCACGGCGAGAUAGACUACGAAGCAGUUGUUAAACUUGCCGAAGUGAGCUUCGUGAUCGUUAUUUUUAUAUGCUUGGUUUCCGUAGAUUCCACUAACCUUCCCUGGUUUUAGGGUUUUAAUGGCGCGGAUCUCCGAAAUGUCUGCACAGAAGCUGGGAUGUCAGCAAUCCGCGCGGAGCGUGACUAUGUCAUUCACGAGGACUUCAUGAAGGUACUUCCUUUAACAAAAUUUUCUCUACCCGGUACCUCAUUUUUUCGCUCUUCUUUUUCUCUCCUCUGGUCCUUCGUAAUUUAAGAAAUUUUCCGAUAUUUUAAUCUUUUUCAGUCCUUAGAGUAAGAUUCGUAUACACUGGUCCAAAAUGAAAACUGAACCUGGAGAAUUUAUUUAGAUUACUGAGUUGUGAACUCUUUGUUUAAUCCGCGCCACCAUUUAAUGUUUUAGGCCGUGAGAAAGUUGAACGAAGCGAAGAAGCUAGAGUCGAGUGCCCACUACAGCGCGGACUUCGGCAAAGAUUAAGAGAAGUACCAACACUACUCUCUUAUCCCUCUGUACUUCUUGCUAGAAUUGCAUUUCCUCUAAUCUUCUCUGUUUUGGUUUCUGGCUUCAGCCUAGAUGUUCUGAGCCUGCCUGUUUGUUUUCGGAAAUAAAAAAAGAGAAGGUAAUUCUUUGCAGGCUUUGGUACACCAGCUGAUUACAAUUUAGCUUCUCUCAUAUCUCAAUUGAUUUGCAGACCCUUUCUUUUUCGCAUCCGUUUUUCCUUUUAUGUUUAAUUUAUGAUACGAUAUUAUGACUCGUAAUAUGCGCUUGUUUUCUUUUGUGAUGCUAAAUUUGCUGAAUCCCUGUGUUAUAUAUCAUGAUGAUUCCUGGUCGACAAUGGUCAUUCUUCUAUUAUAGAAUAUGUGAAAUGUAUCGGGGCGGAUUCAGACUCGGUUAAUUUUUAUUUUAUUUUUUGCCGUCACUUACUGCUUCAUUGGGGACGGAUCAAGGCGGAAGCAGAAAGAAUGGAUGGGUCUCCCACCUUCUGCUCCAUUUUCUUAAUGGAUUCGGGGCGGAUUCUGGGCGGAUUAAUUUUUUCUUUAACUUUAGCUUCCGCUGACCGUCCCAAGCGGAUCGGGUGGGAGUUCUACUAAUCCGGAUCCAUUUGCAUCCUAUUUAUAUAUCACUUAUGUUGCCAUGUGGUGGUAAAACAAACAACAUGUGGUGGUAAAACAAACAAUUUUCUCUGAUUUCGGUUCCUCGUUACGUCAGUUUUCGCUGCUCAGUAAUUCUAAUAAUUUAUGGGUGCGUUUGGUUCGCGCUAUCUUUUUAAGAUUCCUAGUAAUCCAACACGAAUAAAAAAAUAUGACGGUGUUUGGCUAAAUGCACUAAGUAAUCUAGUUGGUAAUAUUUGAUUUACUUCGGAAUGAGAUACAUCCUAAAGUACUAAUAUCAUUCCUUUUAGGGAGGGUGGGUAUCUUUAUAUUAAUGGAUUGAGGUAAUUAUAAUAUAUCUAAUCUCUUUCUUUUUUUCUACCCGUCGGCUAGUUGGUAUUAUUUUUUUUUACACUCUAACCUCAUAUACUUAUCUUUUUCUUUUUAAACUUCAACUCUUUUUCUUUCUCUAAAUUAAGCUAUUUCUUCCCCACUUUUUCUAAAAUUUUAAACCUCUCAUUUUUUCUAAUCUCGAUUCUAUUUUUCUUCCUAUAUUUUUAAUUAUGCUCUCUCUUUUUAAUUUAUAUUCUCUUUCUUUUUUUUUCUAAAAAGAUGUUUAAAUUUUUUUAUAGUAUUAUUUAAAAUUAAUUGUAAAAAUUAAUUAAUUAUUUAUUUAUAUAUUUUUUGUAAUUUUAAAUAAUAUUGAUUAAAUAAUAUGAUCGUACGAACCAAACAUCGAAAUACUAUAUUCCUAGUAAUAGAAUGAAUAGGAAUAAAAUUUUCGAAUAUUAUUUUACUCUAAGUAAUCUUUUAUAGUGCGAACGUGCCCUAUAAGUAAUGGGUAAUGUAUCUUUUGUUUCUUUCUAGAAGAAUAACUUUAUUGAAAACGAAUAAUGGUAACUUUGGUUGUGAACCACUAGCGAACGGUGCAUCUGUGCCACAUUUUUAAUUUAUGAUUACGCGUUAUCCACAUACCCCUAAAAGCCCUUCUCGGUUGGAGUAAAAUCUUGCUUAAUUUUAUUUAUUAUUAUUUAUUUCUUUGUUUGUUUGUUUGUUUUGCUCCAACGUGUAAUGUCUUUGGAUAAGAAAAAUGAAAACAUCAUCUCCAGAGGAAAAGCAUAAAAUAAAAUAAGAUGAAAACACAAAUAAACAAAACGAUGUUCACUCUGAGUGCUCUCACACCCGAAAAACCAAAAUAUUUUUAUUAAUUAAUUUUUAUAAAAUCAUUGUAAGUCUAUUGGUGGCACUUCUAAUAAUUUGGCAAUGAUAUUAGGCUCAAUAAAUUGUUAGUAAAUGAAUUUGAAAAAGAGAAAUGUCAGAACUAAGGGGCUGUUCAGUUUCACAUAAAAAUAAUUCUAUGUGCCGUAGUGCUUGGUUUGUAGAAUUUUUUUUUUUUUUUUUUUGUUACAAUUAUUUGUUGAAAGAAAAAACAGUUAUAAAUAUAAACUAUUAUUGUAUUUUUUUAUUUUAUAUUAUAUGUUAUUGAUAUAUAAUGAUUAUUAAUUAUAUAUAUUAGUAUUAUAGUUUCUAUUUAUAAUUGAAAUAUAUAUAUGAUAGUAUAUUAUAAUAUAUUAUACGAUAGUAUAUAUAUAUAUUAUAUUUAAUACUAUAACAAUAAAUAUAAUAUAUAUAUAUAUAUUAUAUAAUAUAUAUAUAUAUAUAAUAUAAGAACUAGACUGGAAUACUAUCGAUAGCACCAAGCGCUUGGUGCUAUCGAUUUUCGGCCUUAGUUGAAAAAGCGUACAGUUACGAUGAUGUUCGAGUGACACAAAAAUGAACGGUUGAAAAUAAAUAUUCUUUAAAAAAUGAUGAUAGAUCUUGUAAUCAGAUCAAGAGUAUAGAUUUUAUUUUAAAUGGUUAAAGAAUUUUCUAACAAAAAUUCAAUGAUUUGGAUAUUUUUACGCCAUUAAACAAGAAAAUGUUUCAUAUCGACUAUUAAAAUUAUAAAUUUUCAAACCCUUUGAUAAUUAGGCAAAUGACGUGAAAAGAUUGAAAUUUGAUUUCUAAAUACUUCAAUGGUAUAAAUCAUUUCAACGUGUCGAUCGUCGAUUUGAGACCUCUAUCGGAAAACAAAUGAGUGGCAACAAAACUCGUUUGCUAUUGAUAGCAUUCUAGCUCAACUUAAUAUAUAAUAAUAUUAUAUAUAUAUAUAUAGUGACCACAUGCUGAAGUACCCAUGAGCUACAUUUUUUCAAAUCCAAGUUUUCGUUUUCUACUUGAAGAGAGCGGAAGACGAAAACGCCUAUUUUUAAAAAAAUUUGUAAAAUUUUUACGAGUAAUCAAAAAUUAAAAAUUAUUUUUUCAGCGAUUAUUUUUAAAAUUUUUUUUACAAGGAUCGAAACACACCCUAUAAGCAAAAAAAUUCUAGAAUGCAAUCGGUAUAUUGGUGACGUGGCGUAACAAGCCAAUCAAAUAUCUCCUUUUAGAGAUAUAUGUCCUAUCAUGAUUAUAUAAAAAAAAAUUAUUGUACUUUUUUUUGAAAAAAAAAUAAUAUGAUUGACUUAUAAUUGAUGACGUGGUGCAAGUGUGAUCGCGUAGAAUUUCUCCUAUAAGCAAUCUAGUACUAUUAGCUGAUUCAUACAAUCCUUGGUAUGAGACGUGUGGUUGUUAAUUCAUUCAUGCAUAACAUCAAUUAACAAUAACUCAGGAUAAGAUAAUAAAUUUGGUGGGCCUUUAACAGUUUCCCUCUUCAUAGCUGCUUAAUUACCUGCUUUUUUUAUAAUAAAUGUUUCUUUCUCUUAUCCUCUGCAUCGUUUGCUUGCUUUAUUUUUUUUUCUUUUCUUUUUUUAAAUGUUUCUUUCUCUUGUCCUGUUCUUGAUAUCUUUGUGCACAAAGUGAUGUCAGAAGUUCCGUAUCCGAAUAAAAUACUGCAAUCUGUAAUAAUCGUGUGAAAGAGAGCUUUUUUUAUUUUUUUAUUUUUUUAUUUUUACAUUAUGUAUGUCAAUAUAACAAUAAUAUAUAUAGAGAGUAAAUAAUUAGAGUUUUCUGUAGUUGUGCCAUUCAGAUUUUUAUUUUCUCAGAAUUCAAAAAGAACUUGACUAACGCAUAAUUGAUUAAAUUGCGUGUUUAAAUCAUGAUAUGGAUAAAAACAUUGAUCAAUCCUUAACGGCCGACCUCCGGUCCAUUAAUUCUUGGAUAAGGUUUGCUAGAUCCACGUAAGACGAGCCGCCCGGCUCCAUUGCCCUCUUCGCGGCCUCUGCUAGCUCUCUCGCGCGCCUCCGCAUCUCCGCCGCCGCCAGCGCCGCCUCCUCCUCUCCUCCACCCAUCGCCUUCCUUACCACGGUCUUGAUUUGCGCACCCUCUAUCACCGGCCUUUCCUCGGGGAGAAGGGCGAACUUCGUCGCCCCGACCGGCACGCCGAUCCGGAGCAUGUCAACGAUGAGCCUCUCGUUGAAGAACUGCUCGGCGUAGAGUGGCCACGUGACCAUCGGCACGCCGGCGACGACCCCCUCAAGACACGAGUUCCAGCCGCAGUGCGUGAUGAACCCCCCGACCGACGGGUGGCCCAGUAUCAGUGUCUGCGGGGCCCACCCCUUCAGUACUAGGCCCCUGUCCUCCACUCGUUCCUUGAAUCCAUGUGGCAGCCAUUCAGCAUCGUCGUCGUCAGAAUCCCUGACGACCCAAAUAAAAGGACAGCCGGACGCUUCUAGGCCGAAAGCCAGCUGGGUCAGCUGGGUUGCCCCGAGCCGGCCCAUGCUCCCGAAGCACACGUAGAUAACCGAACCGGGCCGGUUCCGGUCGAGCCAUUCUAUUAGAUAAGAACUGGACCCGGUUGGUUCAUAUGCCUGCUCUUUUCGUUCUUGUGCUUCUUCAUCUUCUUGUUUUUCUUUCGGGCGGAGCCUCCUUUGAAGGAGGGUUCCGUCCCGACCGAAGAGUGCAAUGGGGCCCACGUGCCACGCGCGGUGCCCCAUCGCCUCUCGAAAGUGGCGGAUGUAGUCGGGCUCGAGCUCGUAGAAGCUGUUCACCACCGUGCCGAAGCUCCGCCCCUCCGUCGUCGCGAUCUCGCCGAACAAUUCUCGGAACGCGGGGGGCGACUUGCCCCUGUCCGGCAUUUGGGAGCGGAGCAUCACCACCCGGCGCGGGAGGCCGCCGAGGACGACGGUGUCGCUACUGCCGAGCGGGGUGGCAGGGGCGGCGGUGGCGCAGAGGGCGAAGAAGCCGGUGCCGUGGAAGACGAGGCGGGGGAUGCCGAGCUCCUCGGCUACGGGGAUUGUCCAGGGGAAGAAAUAGUCGGAGACGACGGCGUCGACCGGGCGUAUCUCGCGGAGCAGGCGGCUAAAAGGCUCACGGAGUCCAGGCACGGCGACCAUGAACCUUCACGAAUAGAUAAUUUAUUACUAAUUUUUUUGUUCGCUCUGAUAUCACGUAGAGAAACUGAGUAUAGAAACCUGUUAACGGAGUCUAAGUCGGAGAGUUCGGCAAUGUUCUCGAUGCCGGGCGGGAGGCCGGUGAGGGCAGGGGAGGGGAAGGGGAGGAUGCGGAGGCUGAUGUUGGCGCCGGGGAGGCGGCGGGAGUCGAUGAGGGGGGCGUUGGCGGGGGUGGCGACGAUGGUGGUGGCGACGCCGCCGCGGGCGGCGAAGAGGUUGGCCAUGUCCACCAUGGGAGGCAUGUGGCCCGUAGCCAUGAAAGGGAAGAACACGACGUGCAGGGGACGUCGAGCUAAAUAAUCCGAGCUCUCCAUGGUCACUGUUGUAUGUAAUUUCACACACACAGACACUCUCUCUCUCUCUCUCUCUCUCUCUCUCUCUCUCUCUCUCUCUCACGUGUGUGUGCUAUGCAGUAUUACAAUGGGAGUGAGUAAUAAUGGAGCCUCUCUCAGCAGUGUCGGGAUUCGUUGCAUAUAGUUAUGGGAAAACUUAUAGUUAUAGUUAUAAUAAUACUGAAAUAGUUAAUAUAUAUAAAUUUAAAAUGUUUAUCAUUUGGUUUGAUAAUUAUAAAUAAAAGAUAAGCUCACUUAAUUAAUCACAUGUUAAUAUAAAAAAUGGCUAAAUUACAGAAAAUUUCCUAUCAAAAUCAAAAUUUUCACUUUACUACGUGUCAUUUAAAAACCUACACUUUGCCCCCCUAAAAUAUGAAAAAUAUUCACAGAAGUAGGGUGUUAAUAGUAUUGAUAAAAUGACCAAAAUGCUCUCUCUCUCUUCCUCUCCUCCUCGAACCCUCCUUUAUUUGUAGAAGGGUAUUUUCGGUAUAAAAUAAUAUGUAAUAAUGGGAUAUAGAUGGAACUCUAACGGAACACUGACGGCGGGAUCCAAAGUGAGUAUAUUUUAUUUUUUAGAGGGGUAAAGUGUAGGUUUUUAAAUGACAGAGAGGAAAAGUAAAAAAUCGAUUUUUGAUCGGGGAGUUUUCUGUAAUUUAGUCUACAAAAAUAUAUUUUUUAUUAGAGAUAAUUUUAACAUUAUAUAUGGAGUUGAGUCGAAAUAUUACUAAUAGUAUUUAGCUUCUUUUGCUAUCGAUUUUUUAGUCGUUAGAUCUACAUUUUAAUCAAUUUCCAUACUUUUCAACCGGCCACCUACUCAACCAUAGGAGGACCACCACUAAAUUCUAGGAAACCGCUAUCAUCCUAAUCCUGACUAUCAUCCUAAUCCUGUAAUUUUUUAUUAAAGAGUUAAAAACUCGAUAAUAAAAAAGUCCAAGUAUUAUUAAUAGUAUUUCAGUCCAAGGGCUAAAAAUGUAAGGUUGGGAUGAUUGUGGUAGGUGGUGAUAGGUGAUGGUAGGUGGAAUAAUAUUUGAUUCAAGGGCUAUUAAUAAUCAAGGAGUAGAUCCAAGGGCUAAAAAUCUAGAAGCAUCAAAGAGGUAAUACUUCUAAAGUAUUCUAACUCAAUUAUAUAUACACACACGAGUAUGGUAGUCCUACUCUAUAUCAGAGAUAUGUUUAUUAUUUAUAUCAACACAUCAAUUGCAUAUAACAACAAUAAUUCACGGAACCUGUAACAGUAUUAACAAGCAAAACAGCCUUGAUUUCUCAGCCCCAAUAUUAUAAAGAUGUUUGAGAAAUCUGUAACGUUCAGGGGCCAUUUGUUUUGGUAAAAGUGGAGAGGUAGAACUCAAAUUUUAUUAUUUUCGAUAUUUAUUUUAGUAUAAAUUAAAAAAAUAAUAUAACUCAAGUUAUGUUAGACCUUCACUUUAUCUACUUCUGACUUUUUUUUCUAGAGUAUCGAACUCACCAUCAUACUCAUUUUUUUCUAAAAAAUUUAUUAAAUAUUAAAAUCUAAACUCCACUUCCUUUAAAUUGAGUUAGAGUUCUUUUUUUAAAAAAAUGAAGAUUACUUCCAAACAAUAAUGAAAAAUGUUAUUAUUUAAUGGGUUGGAUUUUAUAGGGAUAAGUUUGCCACUAUGGGCCUGUUUGGCCUAGCUUCUGAAGAAGUGAUUUCUGAAAAAAUAAUUUUGGUUUGGAUAAAUGAUUUUGGUUAAAAGCGAGGCCAAACACCCCCUAUAUUUAGUAGAUAACGUGAUCCGCUUACUUACAUCAAAAUAAAGAAUGAAACUCAAAAAAUUAAUUUCAUCAGUAUUAAGUUGCAUCAAAAUAAACAGAAAAGAUAAUUAAAUUUAACUUUUAGACUGUAUAAGUUAUAUCAAAACAAAUAACAAAAAAAUAAUUACAUUUUAGAAAAAUUCAAAUGCUACUGUAAUUGAGUUACGUUGGAUUUAGAGAUUCCUCGACCCAAACGCUCCCUUAAU